rnacentral:rRNA from 1 species
UGGGGAAUAUUGCACAAUGGGGGAAACCCUGAUGCAGCGACGCCGCGUGGAGGAAGAAGGUCUUCGGAUUGUAAACUCCUGUUGUUGAGGAAGAUAAUGACGGUACUCAACAAGGAAGUGACGGCUAACUACGUGCCAGCAGCCGCGGUAAAACGUAGGUCACAAGCGUUGUCCGGAAUUACUGGGUGUAAAGGGAGCGCAGGCGGGAAGACAAGUUGGAAGUGAAAUCCAUGGGCUCAACCCAUGAACUGCUUUCAAAACUGUUUUUCUUGAGUAGUGCAGAGGUAGGCGGAAUUCCCGGUGUAGCGGUGGAAUGCGUAGAUAUCGGGAGGAACACCAGUGGCGAAGGCGGCCUACUGGGCACCAACUGACGCUGAGGCUCGAAAGUGUGGGUAGCAAACAGGAUUAGAUACCCUGGUAGUCCACACCGUAAACGAUGAUUACUAGGUGUUGGAGGAUUGACCCCUUCAGUGCCGCAGUUAACACAAUAAGUAAUCCACCUGGGGAGUACGACCGCAAGGUUGAAACUCAAAGGAAUUGACGGGGGCCCGCACAAGCAGUGGAGUAUGUGGUUUAAUUCGACGCAACGCGAAGAACCUUACCAAGUCUUGACAUCCCUUGACGAUGCUGGAAACAGUAUUUCUCUUCGGAGCAAGGAGACAGGUGGUGCAUGGUUGUCGUCAGCUCGUGUCGUGAGAUGUUGGGUUAAGUCCCGCAACGAGCGCAACCCUUAUGGUCAGUUACUACGCAAGAGGACUCUGGCCAGACUGCCGUUGACAAAACGGAGGAAGGUGGGGAUGACGUCAAAUCAUCAUGCCCUUUAUGACUUGGGCUACACACGUGCUACAAUGGCGUUAAACAAAGAGAAGCAAGACCGCGAGGUGGAGCAAAACUCAGAAACAACGUCCCAGUUCGGACUGCAGGCUGCAACUCGCCUGCACGAAGUCGGAAUUGCUAGUAAUCGUGGAUCAGCAUGCCACGGUGAAUACGUUCCC